CUGCCUCCCCCUGUUGUUUCUUGGUCUUCUUCCAGAGCCUUCCAAAAGAAAGACUGCAGAGUGGGUUCUGGACAGGCAGCCAGUAGCCCCUACGUGAGCAGCUCCCUGUGCCCAUUUGUACCUGACAGAGUCACACUGGUCUUUACAUUCUUCCCUUAAACUUUUCCAUGGCAGAGCUAUGAAAACUGGACAGUGGACCAGAAGAGGGGAGAUGGCAGCUAAUGAAAAGAGAGCCAGCUUUUAUUCAUUUUUAGAGAGGGGAGAAGGGAGAAAGAGAGUGAGAAAAACAUCGAUGUACGAGAGAAAUUUUGAUCAUUUGUCUCUCGCAUGCCCCCAACAGAAGAUCUGGUCUAAAACAAGUAGGUAAAUGUGGAUCCAUAGAAAUGCUGAGACAUUUUGCUGAGUGGACAUCCUCAUUUUAUUGCCUACUAUGCUUCACCAAUAAGUAUGAUGUGGGUAUUUCUGAUACUUCCCAAAAUGUGAGGUUGUUGAAUUUUAUUAUCUGCCAUUUAAGCAAUAAAUGAGAUAAUUUUGAAUUUCCUUCAUAACAAAUUGUUGUGAUAAAUUAUAUUAACAUAUGUAAUGCUAAUACAUUUUUUCACAUUACUUGGGAUAAA